AACGAACGCUGGCGGCAUGCCUAACACAUGCAAGUCGAACGGGGUCAUGGGGCUUGCUCCAUGACUUAGUGGCGCACGGGUGAGUAACGCGUGGGAACCUGCCCUCGAGUGGGGAAUAACGACGGGAAACUGUCGCUAAUACCGCAUACGUCCUCCGGGAGAAAGGCUUCGGCCGCUCAAGGAUGGUCCCGCGUCCGAUUAGCUAGUUGGUGAGGUAACGGCUCACCAAGGCGACGAUCGGUAGCUGGUCUGAGAGGAUGAUCAGCCACACUGGGACUGAGACACGGCCCAGACUCCUACGGGAGGCAGCAGUGGGGAAUAUUGGACAAUGGGGGAAACCCUGAUCCAGCAAUGCCGCGUGAGUGAAGAAGGCCUUAGGGUUGUAAAGCUCUUUCAGACGUGACGAUGAUGACGGUAGCGUCAGAAGAAGCCCCGGCUAACUUCGUGCCAGCAGCCGCGGUAAUACGAAGGGGGCUAGCGUUGUUCGGAAUUACUGGGCGU
rnacentral:rRNA from 1 species